GGGGAAGGAACCGCUGAGCUCCCACGGCCAGGAGAAGGCAGAGCUCAGAUGGCUCUCGAGUCUCUACAAAUGAGGGCCAUUGAUGCCAGCCGAGGUGCGGACAGGGCUCUUUAAAACUCCAUCUCACGACCUUUGCUGGAGCAUCAUCCAUUCUGUGCCAGGCCUAGGGCCAGACCUUGGGGACAACGGGAUAAGCGGUCGUACUUGCUGCCCAUCAUACUCCAGCUGGUGCAAGAGAAGCAGUCAGGCAAGUUCACAGAGUCAUUUCCCUUCCAUGGCCUCUUGCCAUCUUCGUGGGACCCUCUUUGCUCUUUUUACUGAUGGAGAACCAAGCUCAGAAAGGUGAAGGAUUUGCCCAUGGUUGCACGGCUGGAUGCGGUGGAGUCAGGAUUAUCUGGGGGACCCCAGGGCUGGGUCCUCCAUCUCACUGACCCCUCACCUAUAAAAAGAAGAGGUUCCUUAGGCCCAGAGGAAGGAGCCAAUAAGAGGAGGCAUGGGUGCUUCAAAGAGCCAACAGUAUCCUCACCCUCCUGGAGUGGUUAAGGGCGCAAGCCCUGGAGGCAGACAGCUUGGGUUCAAAUCCCAGCUUGGGCGUUUACUGCCUGUGGCCUUGGGCUAGUCGUGUGUCCUCUCUGCCUCAGAUUCUAUAUCUAUAAAAUGAGGCAAAUAACAGAAACUCUCUGUGAGAGUUGUGAGAAUUGAAUGAGUUGAGCGGCCUGAAGCAUUUACACGAGCAUCUCAAGACGCGCAUGCCCCAUGAGCAGCCAGAGCUGAAGGUUCUAACUCCUGUGUUUAAACACCUCCUAAGCUUCUGUUCACAUUCUUCGAGUCUGGAAUCCACUUCCAGGAAUCUGUCCCGAGGAUAUAAUCCCAGUUAGGUAGGGACUAAGGUAAUAAAUGCCCAGAGAUCUUCACUACAUACUAGUUCCCCAGCAUAAAGGGACACACGCCUCCUAGCACAGGGAAAUGUCUAGCAAACGAUGUCACUCAACAGAACCUCCGAGAGCUCCUGGGCUGCUGUGUGAAGGCUUAUGCUUCAAUGUUAAGUGAAAAAAGCUGAACACAGAACUGUAAACUCAGAAUGACGUCAAGCUUAUAAAAACCAAAUAAGCAAAUACAAAACGUGCAUAGAAACAAGAGGAAAGAAUGUGCAGCAAAAUGCGACCAACGAUUAUCUUUGAGUAAGAGGAAUACUGGUGUUUGUUUGUUUGUUUUUCCUUUUUCUAUCUGUUGGCAAUUUCUAAACGUUCUGUAAUGAACAGGUAGAAAACUUUUCUAACAGGAAAGAACUCGACAAACUACUUUUAAAAAAUAGAGUUUUAUCUGGGAGCUGACAUGCUGCCUGAUCUGCCCUUAGCAUGCUGGCAUGAAUGAGGUUGCCCGUUUUCCAGCAAUGAGUUGAAUACUGUGGGAUAGGAGUGUGACAGGCAGUGUUCACUUUGUCCAUAUUUACGAGGUCCAAGGUCUGGGCUGGCUUCCGAGUGUGCAGAGGAAGUGGGGAUGGAGGGAGAGCCCAGGCACAGGCACAAUUUGAAGUCUCUUUGAUACCACACUGGCUGGGGGUUACAAAGAAAACAUUUUGGGAACAUUGCUGUCUUUAUGAUUUUGGCAUAUCUAAAUGUUGCCAGUACGAUUACUCAUUUCAUAGUCUUUAAAAAAAAGCGGUUUAUCUAAAAAAUACUCAGAAAAUUAUAACACGUUUUUGAGAGGAAUCCAAAACCUAAAAGGAAGGCUAUACCAUAUUCAUGGAUUGCAAGACUCAGUAUUCUAGAGAAGUUAGUUCUCUGCAAACUGAUUUAUAGCUUCAAUGCACACAACCCUAAUCAAAAUCCUAACAGGUACGUGUGUGUGUGUGUGUGUGUGUGUGUGUGCGCGCGCGCGCGCAACUUGGAAAACUGAUUGUAAAAUCCACAUGGAAACACAAAGGGUGAAGUAUAACCAUUUUUCAAAAAGACAUUUAAAUAAAAAGAACAAAGUGGAAGAAUUUGCUCUACUGGAUACUAAUACCUAUAAAGCUCUGUAAGGAAGAUAAUGUGUAUUGCUACAAUUGACACAUAGACCAGCGGAAUAGAAGAGAGAUGCCAGACAUAGACGGACCUAUGAUUUAUGACAAAUGUGACAUUACCAAGCAGUAGGAGAGAAGGGGCAGUCUUUUCACUGAGUAAUGCUGUGCCAGUUG